GAGGAAAAGGGAAUCUCUCAUCUGUCAAGUGGCCUGGAGAGACAGUGAGACAAGUCUGGAAUUCCUACCUAUCAACCAGGUUGUGAUCAGCUCUGCCAUUCAGCUGGAUUCUGACAGACUUUCUAGAAAGCAACUGUUGUGGACUGCGUUCUUGCAUUCUUACCCAGAAGCUUCCUCUGCCGUUUCUGUGCUGCACACUGGAGUCUUCAGUCCACAGGAUUUUGAAGGUGCAGAACAACACUAGGAACUUGGGAACCUAAGUGACCUCUUUCUGUAUCAUUAGAUGUCAAAAUGCCUUACAAAGGCAGCAGUCAUAGUUGCAUCACAAUACAGCUGUAAAAAUAAAGGCUUUUAUAGGUCCAGACUCACUUUUGGGGAAGAGAAGCGUGGAGCAGGUUCUGGAC